rnacentral:rRNA from 1 species
GAUGAACGCUGGCGGCGUGCCUAAUACAUGCAAGUCGAGCGAAUGGAUUAAGAGCUUGCUCUUAUGAAGUUAGCGGCGGACGGGUGAGUAACACGUGGGUAACCUGCCCAUAAGACUGGGAUAACUCCGGGAAACCGGGGCUAAUACCGGAUAAUAUUUUGAACUGCAUGGUUCAAAAUUGAAAGGCGGCUUCGGCUGUCACUUAUGGAUGGACCCGCGUCGCAUUAGCUAGUUGGUGAGGUAACGGCUCACCAAGGCAACGAUGCGUAGCCGGCCGGAGAGGGUGAUCGGCCACACGGGGACUGGGACACGGCCCAGACUCCUACGGGAGGCAGCAGUAGGGAAUCUUCCGCAAUGGACGAAAGUCUGACGGAGCAACGCCGCGUGAGUGAUGAAGGCUUUCGGGUCGUAAAACUCUGUUGUUAGGGAAGAACAAGUGCUAGUUGAAUAAGCUGGCACCUUGACGGUACCUAACCAGAAAGCCACGGCUAACUACGUGCCAGCAGCCGCCGCCG